UACGAAGGGUGCAAACGUUGCUCGGAAUCAUUGGGCGUAAAGCGCACGUAGGCGGCCUCAUAAGUCGGUUGUGAAAUCCCUCGGCUCAACCGAGGAAGUGCAUCCGAAACUGCGAGGCUCGAGUAUGGAAGAGGGUCGCAGAAUUCCCGGUGUAGAGGUGAAAUUCGUAGAUAUCGGGAGGAAUACCAGUGGCGAAGGCGGCGACCUGGGCCAAUACUGACGCUGAGGUGCGAAAGCGUGGGGAGCAAACAGG
rnacentral:rRNA from 1 species